CAUAAGCGUGUUGCUCCAACUGAAGCCCUACCUGCAUAGUAGUUGAACAGUACGCCAAGGUUCAGUCAGGCAAUAGAUCAAAUGCAGCAAAUUUCAUUAUCAA